UAGGGAAUCUUCGGCAAUGGACGGAAGUCUGACCGAGCAACGCCGCGUGAGUGAAGAAGGUUUUCGGAUCGUAAAGCUCUGUUGUAAGAAAAGAACGAGUGUGAGAGUGGAAAGUUCACACUGUGACGGUAUCUUACCAGAAAGGGACGGCUAACUACGUGCCAGCAGCCGCGGUAAUACGUAGGUCCCGAGCGUUGUCCGGAUUUAUUGGGCGUAAAGCGAGCGCAGGCGGUUAGAUAAGUCUGAAGUUAAAGGCUGUGGCUUAACCAUAGUACGCUUUGGAAACUGUUUAACUUGAGUGCAAGAGGGGAGAGUGGAAUUCCAUGUGUAGCGGUGAAAUGCGUAGAUAUAUGGAGGAACACCGGUGGCGAAAGCGGCUCUCUGGCUUGUAACUGACGCUGAGGCUCGAAAGCGUGGGGAGCAAACAGGAUUAGAUACCCUGGUAGUCCACGCCGUAAACGAUGAGUGCUAGGUGUUAGACCCUUUCCGGGGUUUAGUGCCGCAGCUAACGCAUUAAGCACUCCGCCUGGGGAGUACGACCGCAAGGUUG
rnacentral:rRNA from 1 species